rnacentral:tRNA from 1 species
GCCGGCGUGGUGGAAUGGUAGACACUGGGGACUUAAAAUCCCCUGGCCGCAAGGCCGUUUGAGUUCGAGUCUCAUCGCCGGUA